UAGGGAAUUUUCGUCAAUGGGGGGAACCCUGAACGAGCAAUGCCGCGUGUGUGAAGAAGGUCUUCGGAUCGUAAAGCACUGUUGUAAGUGAAGAAUGCCAUAUAGAGGAAAUGCUAUGUGGGUGACGGUAGCUCACCAGAAAGCCACGGCUAACUACGUGCCAGCAGCCGCGGUAAUACGUAGGUGGCAAGCGUUAUCCGGAAUCAUUGGGCGUAAAGGGUGCGUAGGUGGCACGAUAAGUCUGAAGCAAAAGGCAACAGCUCAACUGUUGUAUGCUUUGGAAACUGUCGAGCUAGAGUGCAGAAGAGGGCGAUGGAAUUCCAUGUGUAGCGGUAAAAUGCGUAGAUAUAUGGAGGAACACCAGUGGCGAAGGCGGUCGCCUGGUCUGUAACUGACACUGAUGCACGAAAGCGUGGGGAGCAAUAGGAUUAGAUACC
rnacentral:rRNA from 1 species